AACGCACGAGACCUGCGGACCUGCGGAAGGAUCAUUACUGGUUCUAUACCAAACACGCCGGUGGUGGGGGUCUCCCUCGGGGUCUCCUCACCGCCUGCAGUCAAACAACACUCUCUUGUACUGAAAAUGACUGAAUCACUAUUAAAAGAUACAACUUUCAACAACGGAUCUCU
rnacentral:misc_RNA from 1 species